rnacentral:rRNA from 1 species
GAGCGUAGGUGGCUUGAUAAGUCAGAUGUGAAAUCCCCGGGCUUAACCUGGGAACUGCAUCUGAAACUGUUAGGCUAGAGUAGGUGAGAGGGAAGUAGAAUUUCAGGUGUAGCGGUGAAAUGCGUAGAGAUCUGAAGGAAUACCGAUGGCGAAGGCAGCUUCCUGGCAUCAUACUGACACUGAGGCUCGAAAGCGUGGGUAGCAAACAGGAUUAGAUACCCUGGUAGUCCACGCCGUAAACGAUGUCUACUAGUCGUUGGGUCCCUUGAGGACUUAGUGACGCAGCUAACGCAAUAAGUAGACCGCCUGGGGAGUACGGCCGCAAGGUUAAAACUCAAAUGAAUUGACGGGGGCCCGCACAAGCGGUGGAGCAUGUGGUUUAAUUCGAUGCAACGCGAAGAACCUUACCUGGUCUUGACAUACACAGAAUCUUGUAGAGAUACGAGAGUGCCUUCGGGAAUUGUGAUACAGGUGCUGCAUGGCUGUCGUCAGCUCGUGUCGUGAGAUGUUGGGUUAAGUCCCGCAACGAGCGCAACCCUUGUCCUUAGUUACCAGCGGGUUAAGCCGGGAACUCUAAGGAUACUGCCAGUGACAAACUGGAGGAAGGCGGGGACGACGUCAAGUCAUCAUGGCCCUUACGACCAGGGCUACACACGUGCUACAAUGGUAGGUACAGAGGGCAGCUACACAGCGAUGUGAUGCGAAUCUCAAAAAGCCUAUCGUAGUCCAGAUUGGAGU